CGGGUGCUUAAAUGGGCUGCACAUGAUUAGUAAAUGGGAUUGGGCUGUUGCACCUGUUGGGCUGAUUUGAUGCAUUGGGCUUAUGCAAUUCAGAUGGGGGCGGUGCUCCCUCCACCUCCCCGUUUUCUCCCUCCACCUCCCCUUCCUCUUUUACCCCUCACUCUAUCUUUCUAUUCCUAAUUUAUUCUUCAGUAAAAAUUUAUUUUUUGGGUUAAAAUAUUAUAAUUUUUAUCCACUCCCCAC
rnacentral:lncRNA from 1 species